AAUGGAAUAACUGAGUUCGAGGAGCAUGCCAUUACAACUUUUGGGGCAGCAGCGGUGGAUGGAUUGCCGGGUGUUGCGACUUUGGGUCACCAGGGGUGGCCAUUGCUCUGCAAAAGAAAAUUGUAGAACACAACGAGCAGAUGACGGGGUUGCUGAACCAAAUGACACAAACACUAACCUCGAUGUCAGAUGUUAUGGCUAAAUUGUGUGAACAAUUAAAUAAAUAAAAAUAAAAUAAAAUGAAUUAUUUAAACAUA